UCGAAUUACUCUAUCACGAAUUCAGAUCUCUCACGAUCAAUAAAUUCUUUUUUUCUCCCUUUUGUAACUUGUUUUCCGCGGAUGUGCUUAUAUAUUCAUGUUCUUUUAUUUUGUAAUAUCUUCCUUCAGCUUUUUGUUAGUCUUUUUCCUUCUCUUUAAAUUUACUGCCAUUGCGUUACAUUAUAUAAAUACAAUAUACAGGAUGAUGCAGACACAAGUAUUUUCAACAAAAUAUUAUCACAUUAUCCGGCGGACAUACUUGGUGAACGUUAAAAAAAAAAUUGAUCUAUCGAAUAUUAAUUUUAUCGCGUACCAAGAAUAUCUUCUUUAAAAAAACGUAUCUUCGUUGCAUCUUCUCUGAUUCAGAAUUCGCCGCUGGUUUGUGAAACUUUGGUUGACUUUUCUGAAUUUGACAAUAGGGAAUACAACGUGGCGGAAUAAUUUCUACGGUUGAUGUACGAUCUCCAUCGUCGUGUAUAAAAAUGCUAUUAAAGCGAGCAACGUCCACCCCGUGAACUCAGAAUUAAUAGAAAUUGAUUGUGUCCACAAUAUGGACUGAUCGCUUUUAAUAUCUUGCCAAAUAAUAAAUAUUGACGAAAAUUAUGAAAAAAUUAUUGACGAUUAUGAAAAAUGUUAUCAAAAUCGAUGACCCAACGACUGUGACCUUUCCUUGCGAGAUAACACGCGACGAAGUAAAAUACAUAGAGGAACGACACAGAGGAUUAUAAAUAGGCGUAUCUGCAGCGUGCAGGCUGUCGGAAAAUAAAGUAUUAAAAGAGACAGAACAAGAGCCACAUUAGUCCGAUCGGAGGUUCGAGGCGAGUCAGCGGUCUCGAGUAGGUUGUCGGAGCCUUCAGGGCAGAAUUGCACCAUCCAGAGAGUUAGAUCCCCUUGGGCGAAUCAGCGGCCUUAUUUACCCUUCUACCAACGUGCCGGCGGCUUUCUGAGAUCAACCAACGUCACGUGUAAAACGGAAUACACGCGUGUGCAUACGUAACGCGUAUGCGUAAAAGGCGUUGCACACGCGCCAGACUCUGCGUAUAAAAAUAUUUUUGCCUUUUUGUACCGCCUUACCGUUAGCUCGGUUGUAUGACAUUUUUAUACCACCUGGAGAAACUUACAUCGGGUUAGAAGGAAAUUGGACGCGUACUUGUGCCUGUUAAUCUAAUAACAAAUAGUGAUUUCUUCGUGUCGAUAUACAGUGGCUACAAGAAAUAUUCGUACACCAUUGUGUUUGUCAUAACGCGUGUACAUAUUAAUUAAUUAGAUUCAGAUAUUUAUAUGAGUGUACAUUGCUGACAACGAGAGAAUAGGCAAUAAAGGACAUACAUAGGUAAUGCGUGUUAAUGUUUCAAAUUUAUAUGAAUUAUAUUUAUACGCGGCAAAGUCGUGAAUAUAAUUGUGAUAAAUGAUCGCAGAAUGGAAACUGAUUGGUCGAGGUAUAAAAUGUUCCACGAUGUAAUUUAAUAUAAUUUAACUUCAUUAAAAAGUUGCCACACUCUUUACGUUUAUAAAUUUGUAAAAAUGAGUAUUUGAAGUGUAUAUCACUUUUUCUUUCGCAUAAUGGAAAAACGAAGCAAAAACGAAUGUACGAGAUUGUAUAUAUUAAAGUACCCUUAAAGUGUUCGA